GCUGCAUUCAAUGCUUCUUAAUGGGCUCACCUAACCCCUCCUCUAACCCGACAAGGUCGCCCACUGAAGCUAAGCAGGGCUGCGCCCGGUCAGUACCUGGAUAGGAGACCACAUGGGAAGACUAGAUUGCUGCCAGAA
rnacentral:rRNA from 1 species